GUAAAGCCUACUGUCCAUCUGAUUUUCCAAUCUCAACAAGAUCAAAUCUUUUUUCAUUUUUGUUAAGUAGCUAUGGAUUCUAUCACUUUCAUUUGUAGCUGCUUAUCUUGUUACCCAUUAGUUUGCUCAUUAAAUUUAGCCAUGAUCAUCUUCACUUGGACAUUUUUCUCAUGUUGAAUUGGGUAAUUCAACAGUUAGUGAUGCAAGUUAGUUAUCAAUAUGCAAGAAACAAUACAAUCUCGGGUGGUGGUUCAAUGGCCCGUGAAAAUCCUCAAAUUGAUUAGGUACACACUAGGGUAUGGAUUCGAAUCCUGCAAUGGGAAUUUUCUUGCCUGAGUAGUGUAAAUCAACUUGGUUCCCAUCGAUACCCUGGUAAGGCUAGAUCAGGCUAUGACUUAGUCAAAUUUGAGGGAGCGCAUGUGGUUCUCACCGUUAAGGCCCCUUCUUGUACGGCUCCCAAUGGAUAGGUCCUACUAUAGUUAUGCCCAAAUAGAAUAUUCACAAUUGGGCUUGUCCACCUGCCCUUUUAAUUAGAAUAUUAUAUGCAAGAAACAAAAUUUGUUUUCUAUUUUUGCAUCUUUGUUUUGAGAGUCACUUAGUUCUAGUGAAAACAUGUGUACUCAGAUGGGAAGCUCCUCUUGAGGGAUGGUGGCAAGUAAAUACUGAUCCUUCUGGUUGCAGAAGUCAGCCAAUUUUUGGCUGGCUUCUACAAGUGUUCCCUGUAGUAACUCUUUCAUGAGCUCCAAGCUACAUUGGAAGGGAAGGCCUUUGCCUUGAACUGGAAAGAAUAAUAAUGCCACAAUGAGCAGAGUUCCUGUGGGCUCAAUAAAUGCUUUUUCCACGGGGAAUUAAAGCUAUACUUAGCAGAUUCAGCAGCUGGCAAGGAGCAUUGAGGUUUCUUUUUGUCUAUUCCUGAUAGGAUUAUGGAGUUGUUGGUUAGGUACUUUAAUAAAGAUUUUUAAUUCUACCAAAGUAAAAAAGAAAUGCUGAUUUUUAAGGGUGUGAGCUUCUGCAAUAAAAUUUCACCCUUUGCCAAAAGGUUUGGACAAAAACAACAGGGUUUAAGAAAAUCUAUAGCUAAUUUUGAUGAUUAUCUGUGUGUUGCUAAUCUAAUGAUAUUAAUCAUGGAAAUCAUUUUUGGCUUUUAACGCUGCUACUUUUCAUUUUCAAGUUUCAUUGACUCUUUUUGUAAUUGAGAAUCCAUGUUUGACUCGAUCUACAAAGUAUAACUGUUUUAUUCAACAAAUUCCACCAUUUUGCUUAUGCACAAGGUCUUUUUGUUUUAGAUGAGAAGAUUCAUUAUAUCUUGCUAAAGUUUCGUAUUCGAUAUGAUCUUGCAGAAAAAAAAAAUAUAACAGCAAUAUCACAUUUUCUUUUUGAGAGUUCAUUCCAAGCUAAUUGCAGCAUGGGGGCUAGUCUGUUUUGAGAUAAGGCGAGUUGAAAAGUUUGUAUCCAGGCCUUCUAAACAACUGUAGUGGCCAUCUUUGAUGCAAUGUUUCCUCAGUUGCUUUACUGGAAGCGGAACCUUUCAUUGAUGGCAAAGUUGUUCCUCAUGACAGAAAAUACAAUUUGUAAAGAGAGACAAAUAACACGUCCAAAAGCAUUUAAAAUGCCAAAUAACUUUGAGACGAAAGGAGAAGAUGUGCAGAAUUGUUACAUUCAAAACAAAGAGAUGCUCAAUGCCUAACUGAUAUCCGAAGCUCUGUGCCUAACAUGGGAGACAUACCACAUGAUGAAGGUGCAUUGACUUCCAUGAUACACAGGGGAUGGUAACAAAAUUCCUAGCUGAUCUGGAUGCUCUGUGCCUAAAGGAAAAAUCUUCAAAUGGAUGGAGCACCUUACACUGGUGGUGAGUCCUCCUAUCAGACAAUGGAAUGCUGACAAUGGCAGGCUGAAAGAAUGCCAACUGCUGGAAGAGAUCAGGCUAAGCUAUUUGAGCUGAAUGCUGAUUUUUGUUCAAUUGAUGAUUUGCAUGCUGCCCGGAAUCAUAUAAAUAAAUGAACAAAAAUUCCUGUGGCUAAAGCUGUCAUUCUGUAAAGUAUAAGAGCAAAUUGAUUCCAACUCCUAAUAUAGUUUGGUUGAAACCUUUUAUGAUAUGAUUGUUAGAAUAGAAGAUUGUAAUCAAAUUAUUCUGAUUACAUAUCAUCUUCUAUCUUUUUAGAAAUCAGAUUUGAUUGAUAUUAUAGUCUGAUUUGGUUGUAAUCUAAUUUGAUUUGAUUUUGAUCAAAUAUUACAUAUUUGUAAUGUAAAUCAAUCAAGCAAUAGAGUGAAAAUGUUGGGCUCUUCUAUAG